AUGAAAAGUGUGAUACAAAGCCAUACUGUGUUUGUUUUCAUAGUCUUGUUUCAGUUUCUAGUUUUCAUAGUUUAGUCUUUGUCUUGCUUUGCCCUCUUACUUGUGCUUUGACCCUUUCUCUGGAUUCAGAUGAUGCAUAAAUCUCAAUUUUGAAAGACUGACACUUGUGCUCCAGGGUCACAAGGGCCACCAUUUGAACUGACAUGCUGAUUGCGCAACGUGACGGAUGAACGCGUCGGACUCGGUUCGCUUGAGUCUUGUUCCGCCUGAACGCGACCGAAGAGUUCGGAUGUCGCUCGCGCGCUCGGAGCGAUGACGGACAGCCAGGUGCACGCGCAUUGCUCAUUCCCGACGCCGCUGGUCCUGAUGCUGCGGGCGCACGAGCAUCAGCAGCUUCACUGAGACGCUCAGAACCUCGGAUCGGAUGGACUCGAGCCUCGAACGAAGCGAUGACAUCUGCGGACAGACCGUCACCGACGUCUCCGAACCUCGGCCGAGCUCGUGAAUGAACCCUCACCCCGUGGGCUUCGCGUCAUCACCACGAAACCUUGCGAGGACGCGGAUCUGCUGCUUUGACUUCGAUUCCGAGUGGUUCAUGAGAUCUGCAGAAUUUCUUCCACGGUCUGGAGAGACUCCGGCGCUUUAAUCUGGAUAUGUUGAAAGGCACGUAAGGAUGGAUGGGAUUAUUAGCGUUUUGGGGGUCCUGACGCUCGUUUUGGAGGGCAUCUCAUGCCAGGGAGUGUAUGGUAAGUGCCAGCAGCUCAGACUGAUGCAUUUAUAUGCCAGUCAACAUUCCGUGUGUGCGUCUGAACAGGUGCCAUUUCACAAACCGUCCAGCAUCAGAUCCACAGGUUUUAGAGGAGAAAACGAUACAGUAUGAAGAUCAGAACCAUCAGGGAUUCAUU